rnacentral:tRNA from 1 species
GCACCUGUAGCUCAGUCGGUCAGAGCAUCUCGUUUACACCGAGAGGGUCGGGGGUUUCGAGUUCCCUCCGGGUGCA